rnacentral:miRNA from 1 species
AGGAAUGCCUCCAUGAGAUCCAGCUGUAAGGCAAUUUUUCAAUUAGUGAUCAAUGGGGGAGGUUCCAACCCAUGGUGGGUGGUGCCAUCCUGGCCUGCUGGUCCUG